CAGUCGCCGCGGUAAUACGUAGGGUGCAAGCGUUGUCCGGAAUUAUUGGGCGUAAAGAGCUCGUAGGCGGUUUGUCGCGUCUGCUGUGAAAUCCCGAGGCUCAACCUCGGGCUUGCAGUGGGUACGGGCAGACUAGAGUGCGGUAGGGGAGAUUGGAAUUCCUGGUGUAGCGGUGGAAUGCGCAGAUAUCAGGAGGAACACCGAUGGCGAAGGCAGAUCUCUGGGCCGUAACUGACGCUGAGGAGCGAAAGCGUGGGGAGCGAACAGGAUUAGAUACCCGCGUAGUCCCUGUCUCUUAUAU
rnacentral:rRNA from 1 species